AUGCAAGUCGUACGGGGAGGGCGGAGAUAGCAAUAUUUCCGCCUCUUCCAGUGGCGGAAGGGCGAGUAAUGCCUGGACAACCUGCCCCUUUGCUGGGAAUAACGCGGGGAAACCCGUGCUAAUGCCGAAUGAGGCGCCCGAGGGCAUCCCCGGAGCGCCAAAGGCGGGGACCGCAAGGCCUGCCGCAGAGGGAGGGGUCCGGGUACCAUCAGCUAGUUGGUGGGGUAACGGCCUACCAAGGCGACGACGGUUAGCUGGUCUGAGAGGACGACCAGCCGCACUGGGACUGAGAUACUGCCCACACUCCUACGGGAGGCUGCAGUCGAGGAUCAUUCGCAAUGGGCGCAAGCCUGACGAUGCGACGCUGCGUGGAGGAUGAAGGGCUUCGGCUCGUAAACUCCUGUCAUGGGGGAAAAAGGUCCCCAUUGUCAACAACGAUGGGGCUUGAUGGUACUCCAAGAGGAAGCCACGGGUAACUCUGUGCCAGCAGCCGC
rnacentral:rRNA from 1 species